rnacentral:rRNA from 1 species
GAACGCCCGUAGCAAUACGGGAGUGGCAGACGGGAGAGUAACACGUGGGAACGUACCCUUUGGUUUGGAACAACCCAGGGAAACUUGGGCUAAUACCGGAUAAGCCCUUACGGGGAAAGAUUUAUCGCCGAAGGAUCGGCCCGCGUCUGAUUAGCUAGUUGGUGGGGUAAUGGCCCACCAAGGCGACGAUCAGUAGCUGGUCUGAGAGGAUGAUCAGCCACACUGGGACUGAGACACGGCCCAGACUCCUACGGGAGGCAGCAGUGGGGAAUAUUGGACAAUGGGCGAAAGCCUGAUCCAGCCAUGCCGCGUGAGUGAAGAAGGCCUUCGGGUUGUAAAGCUCUUUCGACGGGGACGAUGAUGACGGUACCCGUAUAAGAAGCCCCGGCAAACUUCGUG